rnacentral:tRNA from 1 species
GAGGGUACAGCUCAGUGGUAGAGCAUGUGCUUACCAUGCACAGGGUCCUGGGUUCAAUCCCCACUACCUCCA